UACGUAGGGUGCAAGCGUUGUCCGGAAUUAUUGGGCGUAAAGAGCUCGUAGGCGGUCUGUUGCGUCCGCUGUGAAAACUCGGGGCUUAACCCCGAGCCUGCAGUGGAUACGGGCAGACUAGAGGUAGGUAGGGGAGAAUGGAAUUCCCGGUGUAGCGGUGAAAUGCGCAGAUAUCAGGAGGAACACCAAUGGCGAAGGCAGCACUCUGGGACGGUACUGACGCUGAGACGCGAAAGCGUGGGGAGCAAACAGG
rnacentral:rRNA from 1 species